rnacentral:rRNA from 1 species
GACGAACGCUGGCGGCGUGCCUAAUACAUGCAAGUCGAACGCACAGUUUAUACCGUAGCUUGCUACACCAUAGACUGUGAGUUGCGAACGGGUGAGUAACGCGUAGGUAACCUGCCUGGUAGCGGGGGAUAACUAUUGGAAACGAUAGCUAAUACCGCAUAAUAUUGAUUAUUGCAUGAUAAUUGAUUGAAAGAUGCUAUUGCAUCACUACCAGAUGGACCUGCGUUGUAUUAGCUAGUAGGUGAGGUAACGGCUCACCUAGGCGAGGAUACAUAGCCGACAUGAGAGGGUGGUCGGCCACACUGGGAGUGAGACACGGCCCAGAGGCCUACGGGAGGCAGCAGUAGGGAAUCUUCGGCAAGGGACGAAAGUCUGACCGAGCAACGCCGCGGGAGUGAAGAAGGUUUUCGGAUCGUAAAGCUCUGUUGUAAGAGAAGAACGGGUGUGAGAGUGGAAAGUUCACACUGUGACGGUAUCUUACCAGAAAGGGACGGCUAACUACGUG